AAACAUUACAGGUUAUAUCUUUUAGAAGCAUGUAACUAGAGCUUUUUAUUAACUCAAGUGGGAGUAAGACCUGGCACUGAAUUGGUCUGGUAACUUCUUUCUUGCAGCAGACAUUUAUUGAGCUGCUACUAUAUGCCACUGACUAGGGCUGUAGGAGAGGCAAAGAUAAAUAUGGGAUCAUACCUACAGGGAGCUUGCUUGUAAAAUAGUUGGGGACAAAUGCAACUUUUGCAACCUACCUUUGAAGACCCCAUCAGCUUAAGGUUCCACUCUUGGAGUAAAUGGAGAAAUUUAUAACUGCGCGAUAACACCGCCCUGACCUUCUCUACUCAGCGUGAGAAUUAAUUACCUGAGGCCAGUCCUAUGGAACAUUGUGAAGGCACGAUUCAAAGACGCCAGCCAACCAUCUGGCACUUGAAAGAGGCUAAGUAUAUGCAACUCCCCUCUUAUCCUCUCUCUUUCAUCACCCAGUGUGUUGAACUGAAUGGCAAUUUCUGUGUUUUCUCUCCCCUGUUUAUUACGAACAUCUCCAGGAAAGCCAGUUCCAUGGACUCUCCCCAUCAUGGCAUCGGCGGUGAGGAAGAACACUCCUAAAAGAGUGGGGGCCUGUACUGGCAGCCUAGGGCUUAUCUGCAGGAUGGAAAAGCUUCCAGGACAUAAGCCCAUCACAGGGCUUACCCAGCUGCCUUUGAGAAAUGUUUGGGGUCACAUUGGCUAAAAUUAAGUACUUUGUGGUGAACUGGAUUUGACUGGAACUAAAGGAUCGACUUCCAAGCUCACUCCUGUGGCUGUCGGCAGGAGGCUUCAGUUCCUUACCACAUAGACCUUUCCACAGCAUGAGGGCUCCAGUGUCUGCAGAUUUGACUGGAACUAGAGGAUCAACUUCCAAGCUGGAACUAGAGGAUCAACUUCCAAGCUCACUCCUAUGGGUGCUGGCAGGACGCUUCAGUUCCUCACCACAUAGACCUUUUCACAGCAUGGCUUCCUCUAAAUUCUCCUGGCCAACUCUUCAAUAGCACAGGUCCAAGACCGCCAUGACAUAGGAAUGGAUGAACAGUUGAUAUGGAUCAUGCGUGGGGGAUAGAAGGUGAACGUCGGUGAACAGGCUCGGUCAUCCCCUUCCCUGAGGUGCUUGCUUCCUUCCACUCAUGCCUUUGUGUGAUCUCGCCCCUUAAGUAUGGGCAGGGCUUCUGACUUGCUUCUGACCAACGGAACGUGGCAAAGUCAAUGGGAGGCCACUCUGUGAUGACGCUGGGUUAAAAAAGACCCUGUGUCACUAGCAGAUGUGUUCUGCUCUCUCUUCAUUUGUUGGCUUCGAAGAAGCAAACUGCCAUGGACUCAGCUGAAAGGAGUCAAAUGCCUCCAACAAUCACAUAAGCAGGGAAGUGGACACUUCCCUGGUGGAGCCUCUGGUGAGAACCCAGCCCUGGCUGACGCAUUAAUUGCAGCCUGUGAGACCUUUAGCAGAAGCCCUCCUGAUCCACAGAAACUGUGAGAUAAUAAGCCACUAAGUUUGUUGUAAUUUGUUAUGGGGCAUAGAUAACUAGUACACGCAGUCCUACUGAGAUUUUCUCUCUCCCUCUUUUUUUUUUUCUAUGAAUAAACUCCUUUCUAUUUUUGAGCUUUCCUUUCCAAGUCACACAUUUUAUUUCAAAUAAUUGAUAGUUGUAAUAAUCAGCUUGCUGCUUGAAAAUACCCGCAAGCCUCGGGGUAUAUUGUCUUAGUCUGUUUUCUGUUGCUAUAACUAAAUAACUAAAAGUAGGUAACUUAUAAAGGAAAGAAGGUUAUUUCUUACAGUUCUAGAGACUGAGGCUGGGAAGUCCAAAGCUGAGAGGUCACAUUUGGUGAGGGCUUCUUGCUGGUGAGGACCCUCUGUAGAGUACUGAGGUGGUUCAGGGUAUCACAUAGACAGAGGGGCUCACUGAGAGCCAGACUGGCUUUUAUAACAGACCCACUCUUGUGAUAACUUGCCUACUCCUAUGAUAACUCAUUAAUUCAUUAAUCCAUGAAUGGAUGAAUCCAUACAUGAAGGCAGGAUGGAUUAAUGUGCCUUCAUGUCCCAGUUACCUCUGAAAGGCCCCACCUCUUGAUACUGUUAUAUUGGGUAUUAAGUUUCAACAUGAAUUUGGGAGGGGACAAAUAUUCAAACCAUAGCACACACCAUAGAAACUUCUUGCUCAUGCAUCUAUAGGUCAGCCAGGAUUGGUUAAUCUAGGCCGGCUAUUGCACUUGGCUGCAAGCUCCAUGCUGAAUGGGCAUCUGCUCCAUGAGUGUCUCAUCCUCCUUGGACCAGGGGACAAGUGAGGCAUGUUCUUCUCACAAUGUGCAACAUGCCAAGUCCAACUGUGAGGCAUAUUUCAAUUCUUGCUUGGGUGAGGAGUGUUGACAUACCAUCGCUCAAAGCAAGUCACAUGGCCAAGCUCAAAGUCAAGGGACAGGAAAGUAUACUCCCUAGACUCCAAGGCCAUGGUAUGGAGCAGGUGGACUGGGGGAAGUACUGGGAGCAGUAAGUCAAUCUCCCAGUGAAAAACAUGGGAUUUGGAGUCCAGACGACAUGUGACUUCUAAUCUUUCCUUCCAACAUAGCCUUUAGCAAAUCAACUUCUCUCUUCAGGUCCUAGUUUCCUCAUCAAUAAUAGGGGAGGUUGUACUAAAUUUGCUACAGCCUUGAAAAUAAUUGUUAAAUAUCUUCUAUGAGCAAUGAACUACUUCGUGUGGUAGAAAAAAAUGAGUAUGAAUUUACUGAGACAAAGGAUUUGUGGAAAUAAAAAUUACAUAACUGAGAACAAACUGA
rnacentral:lncRNA from 1 species